UCGAGUGCAUAAUUUUAGAGACCACGGGAGCGCGUGCCGAGGCGCGUCGCUGCGCCUUCUGGCGGCUGCGCGGCUCUGUCCGGGAGCGCGUACUGCGCACGCUCGUCCCAUAUCACCCGGCAGCCUGUCCUUUCGCUCGUUUCAACGGCGCGCAUCUCGAAACGAUGCGGACGGCGCAAGGUGCCACUUCUGUAGUCGCUGUGAAGACAAUAAAAAAAGCCGAGCGCUAAUGUGACGACAGCACAUCAUUUGCGGCUUUCGGCGUGCUGCACCUAGUGCACGUUACUCCUAGGCGAUCUGCGGCGUGAUCACAUUUUGAAUGUCGAGUUAGGCAAUCAAUAAGCUCAGCCAGCAGUGUUGCCUUUUGCGCUCUCAUUCGCCGAACUAACGCACGUAGUAAUACUCGGUCCAAAUAUCAUGUGUCUAUGAACAUGCAUGAAACCACCAAACGUCCAACAGCUGCAGAAAAGAGCCGAGGAAGAAAGGUGAAAACAAACUCGGUUUAUUAAGGAUAAAUCCUUUAUUAAGGCCGCUGCGGUGGUGCAGUGGUUUCGAUGCUCGGCUGCUGACCCGAAAGACGCAUCUUCAAGAGCGGACCUGAACCCCAUUGAAAACGUCUGGGGUCUCGUGAAACGCCGACUUGCGGCGCGGAAUCUUGGAAGUUCAACGAAGGAGACCCUAUUCGCGGCCAUACAGGAGGAAUGGGAAGCACUUCGUGCACGCCCCGAGAUCGUGGCCGCGCUUUACAAUUCGAUGCCAUCUCGUGUGGCGCAAGUGAUUGCCGCCGAUGGGCGUUUGAUUAAAUACUGAAAGUAGUGAUCCUUCCUGGAUAGCAGUUAUAGCUAUCGUUUUCUUUUUUUUUCUGGCUUAUAAGAAUAAACUGUUUAUUUAUCG